rnacentral:rRNA from 1 species
AGUGAACGCUGGCGGUAGGCCUAACACAUGCAAGUCGAACGGCAGCACAGUAAGAGCUUGCUCUUACGGGUGGCGAGUGGCGGACGGGUGAGGAAUACAUCGGAAUCUACUUUUUCGUGGGGGAUAACGUAGGGAAACUUACGCUAAUACCGCAUACGACCUACGGGUGAAAGCAGGGGAUCUUCGGACCUUGCGCGAUUGAAUGAGCCGAUGUCGGAUUAGCUAGUUGGCGGGGUAAAGGCCCACCAAGGCGACGAUCCGUAGCUGGUCUGAGAGGAUGAGCGGCCACACUGGAACUAGGACACGGUCCAGACCCCUACGGGGGGCAGCAGGGGGGAAUUUUGGAAAAGGGGGGCAACCCUGACCCACCCAUCCCGGGGGGGGAAAGAAGGCUUUCGGGUUGAAAAGCCCUUUUGUUGGGAAAGAAAAGCAGCAGGUUAAAACCCCGCUGUUCUGACGGUACCAAAAAAAUAAGCACCGGAAAAUUUCGG